rnacentral:rRNA from 1 species
UGGGGAAUUUUGGACAAUGGGGUAAACCCUGAUCCAGCCAUCCCGCGUGUGCGAUGAAGGCCUUCGGGUUGUAAAGCACUUUUGGCAGGAAAGAAACGUCAUGGGUUAAUACCCCGUGAAACUGACGGUACCUGCAGAAUAAGCACCGGCUAACUACGUGCCAGCAGCCGCGGUAAUACGUAGGGUGCAAGCGUUAAUCGGAAUUACUGGGCGUAAAGCGUGCGCAGGCGGUUCGGAAAGAAAGAUGUGAAAUCCCAGAGCUCAACUUUGGAACUGCAUUUUGAACUACCGGGCUAGAGUGUGUCAGAGGGAGGUGGAAAUCCGCGUGUAGCAGUGAAAGGCGUAAAUAUGCGGAGGAACACCGAUGGCGAAGGCAGCCUCCUGGGAUAACACUGACGAUCAUGCAAGAAAGCGUGGGGAGCAAACAGG